rfam:Gongylonema pulchrum genome assembly, scaffold: GPTH_scaffold0027615
GGACUGGUGGUGCAGUGGUAAGACGUUGCGUUGAGUCGUGAAGAGGAGUGGUUCGAUUCCUUCCCGGUCCA